CCUACGGGGGUCAGCAGUGAGGAAUAUUGGUCAAUGGCCGCGAGCCUGAACCAGCCAAGUCGCGUGAGGGAAGACGGUCCUACGGAUUGUAAACCUCUUUUGCCGGGGAGCAAAAGACGCCACGCGUCGCGUUCCGAGAGUACCCGAAGAAAAAGCAUCGGCUAACUCCGUGCCAGCAGCCGCGGUAAUACGGAGGAUGCGAGCGUUAUCCGGCUUUAUUGGGUUUAAAGGGUGCGCAGGCGGAAGAUCAAGUCAGCGGUAAAAUUGAGAGGCUCAACCUCUUCCAGCCGUUGAAACUGGGUGUCUUGAGUGAGCGAGAAGUAUGCGGAAUGCGUGGUGUAGCGGUGAAAUGCAUAGAUAUCACGCAGAACUCCGAUUGCGAAGGCAGCAUACCGGCGCUCAACUGACGCUCAUGCACGAAAGUGUGGGUAUCGAACAGGAUUAGAUACCCUGGUAGUC
rnacentral:rRNA from 1 species